rnacentral:tmRNA from 1 species
GGGGAUGCUAGGCAUCGACAAUAGAAUACCUUUAUAUUAUGCAUGUCGAGAUUCACGAGUUCUCGAAAAAAUCGUGAAAAAAUAAAUGCAGAAAAAACUGCUGUAAAGUCUCCUUUCAUGGGACUUGCAUUCGCUAGAGUUUAACUCGCGAACACUCUAAUACUGGACUUCCGAUAAAGUAGUAGAGUGUAAUUUCAUCGGGAUAGAAUACUUAGCGCUCACUAAGUAUUCGAAACUAAAGAGAUCGACCUGCUAUUCGUUUUGCUGUUUUUUUAGGUUGUAGGUCUAAAUAAAACAAAAUAGACAAGCAUGUAGAAGUAAUAUAGAGACUCUUUUGCACGGGGGUUCGAUUCCCCCCAUCUCCACAA